GAUUAUGGCUCAGGAUGAACGCUAGCUACAGGCUUAACACAUGCAAGUCGUGGGGCAGCAUGAAGGAAGCUUGCUCCUUGAUGGCGACCGGCGCACGGGUGAGUAACGCGUAUCCAACCUGCCUGAUACUCGGGUAUAGCCCAGUGAAAACUGGAUUAACCCCCGAUGUGGUCCUUUGCAGACAUCUAAUUAGGAUUAAAGUUUACGGUAUCGGAUGGGGAUGCGUCUGAUUAGCUUGUUGGCGGGGUAACGGCCCACCAAGGCGACGAUCAGUAGGGGUUCUGAGAGGAAGGUCCCCCACAUUGGAACUGAGACACGGUCCAAACUCCUACGGGAGGCAGCAGUGAGGAAUAUUGGUCAAUGGGCGGAAGCCUGAACCAGCCAAGUAGCGUGCAGGAUGACGGCCCUAUGGGUUGUAAACUGCUUUUGUGUGGGAAUAAAGCGGGGGACGUGUCCCCCUUUGCAUGUACCUCACGAAUAAGGACCGGCUAAUUCCGUGCCAGCCGCCGC
rnacentral:rRNA from 1 species